UUCUAGACUUGCCGGGCGCAAACAUUACUUUGGAGCACAUCCACGAGCAGACGCUAUUUCCAGGAGAGGACAUGAUUAUUUUGGAUCAGAACUACGGUUUUCUUUACUCGUCUCAGCAAGUGCACAGAGCAGGAGAUAUAAAAAAAAAACUAGCAAUUGAAAUCAGUUGGAGCCCUUGACGAAUUAUUGUUCAUUGGAUGAAAUUGCACACAACAUAGCUUCUACUGAGUGUAAGUGGGGUUUUACCUGUAGUUGCGCACGAUGUCAUUUUUGGCGCAUGUCAAGUGGCUCCGCCGGCGACUUGAUGGCAAACUAAGUCUGCGCGGUUGUCAACUCGUUCAUUUAUGUGAUAGGCAGCAAAGCAAGAGGACCUCCAGGACCAAGAAAAG